AAAAGAACUCUGAAUAGAGAGUUAAAUAGUACGUGAAACUGCUUAGAGGUUAAGCCCGAUGAACCUGAAUAUCCAAUAUAGAGAAUUCAUCAUUAAUAUAUUAAUUAUUAUUAAUAUAAUGGUGUGCAUUUUCUCUAUAUAAAUGGACAUUGUAAUCUAUUAAUAUAUAUAAUUUAUCAUAAGAUCAUAAGCAUAUGUUUAUUUUUAUUAAUUUAGCUUUUAGCUUUAUUAUAAAAUAAUUGCUAUUGAUUUGAUAAAGUAUUGAUAGAUUUAAUCAUAUGUAUAAUGCUUAAAUUCAUUUAUGAAUUUUAUAAUAUAGCAAUAUAUUAUAAGCAUUUAUACGAUUUACAAUGCGAAAGAUUCAGGAUACCUUCGGGAC
rnacentral:rRNA from 1 species